CCCAUAGCCUCUCUGCGGUCGUCCGCCUCUGUAUUCAUCUGCUGGAUCCGGCGGAGAGUAUCUUCUCCUCGGGGACGGCCGACGGUAAGGGUCUCGGUCCGGGGGAUGGCCCGGUCCAGGACGGGGCCCGAAACCACGAGACGGCGGGGGAUGGCGAUAACCGCCUCUGUGCGGCCUAGUACCGCGAAACAUGUCGACGCUUCACUGCUGUUUCUGCGUCAGCGUCGAGUCCUUAUUACCCUGGGAACGGGACUGCGAUUAUCCCUGCAACAGGAGUCGACUGAGAAAACCAGAGAGGAGCAGAAGCAGGAGACGAAGUAAUGAUGAUAAAGAGCAGAGUUUAUUGAAUAAUCUCAUUGGAGCGUGAUUCAAUGCUCAGAUUUCGUCUGACCAGGAUAAAUCCAAUAAGUCUUAUUAUACCACAAGCAACAGCAAUGGAAAAUUACUGCUUCACAACAUUGUCCAGAGACAAUAAAGACCUUGAAAUGAAGACAUUCUCUUAUCUGUAACUCAUGAAAACAAGUAUCACUUAAAUCCACAGUCAUGCGAGUAUAAAAAAAUUAAUUCAUAAUUUAAAGCUGGUUAAAUU
rnacentral:lncRNA from 1 species